UCAAUAACACCGUUAAGCCUAUGUAAUUAUACAAUUUUUGAAGGGUAAUUUUGGUUUUCAUCUCUCUCUCUCUCUCUUUCUCUCUCUCGCUCUCUCUGUGGGUUUUUAAUAGAUUAAAGAAAUCAGAAAGCCAGAGAGAAGCUCCAUCACUUCUGCAAUGGCCGCCGCUCUUUCACCGACCUCUGACUAUCCUAACACGACGUACGUUCUCUACGCCUCCAUCUCCAGCCUGAUGCCCAUAUUCAAAGCACACAAUCUCCUCGGCUACGUCGACUGCUCCAUCACGCCGCCGGAGAAGUUCUUCCCGAACGACGCCGGAGAACCGACGAUCGCGAUCAGCUCGAGCUACAAAAUCUGGAUGGUGCACGAGGCCAAAUUUAAGCCGCCCGAGACGUCAGAAACUUGGUCAGAAAGUCGUCUUCUUCCUCCUCCUCUUCUUCUUCUGCGGCCAAGACUCGAUUAAAGUUGGAAGCUUCAGGUGUGAUUCCACCUUUGGUGACUAUGCUGGUGUCUCCUAACCCAGAUGCUCGCCAAGCUUCUCUGCUAGCUCUUCUCAAUCUCGCUGUUCGCUAUGACCAUGAAAGAUUGAAGCUUUUGGUGCUUCUGGGAUUGUGUUUUUGCAAUGAGGCAGGGCAUGCUGCUUUGGUCUGUCCUCACAGAAUGAAUUUCACAUACCAGGGCAUACAGAAUCAAUAAUCGAAGCCUCAACUUAAUGUUAAUUUCUAGUAAUAAUUUUCUUUUUUUCUUGUGUCUAUCGAUUUAGUAAUUUGAACUGGUUAAUGGCUUUGGGUUUUA